AACGAACGCUGGCGGCAUGCCUAACACAUGCAAGUCGAACGAGACCUUCGGGUCUAGUGGCGCACGGGUGCGUAACGCGUGGGAACCUGCCCUUAGGUUCGGAAUAACUCCCGGAAAGGGUUGUAAAACCGGGUUAAUUCCUCGGAACAAAGAUUUAUUGCCUUUUGGUGGGCCCGCGUUUGAUUAGGUUGUUGGUAGGGUAAAAGCCUACCAAGGCGACGAUCCAUAGCUGGUCUGAGAGGAUGAUCAGCCACACUGGGACUGAGACACGGCCCAGACUCCUACGGGAGGCAGCAGUGGGGAAUAUUGGACAAUGGGCGAAAGCCUGAUCCAGCAAUGCCGCGUGAGUGAUGAAGGCCUUAGGGUUGUAAAGCUCUUUUACCCGGGAUGAUAAUGACAGUACCGGGAGAAUAAGCUCCGGCUAACUCCGU
rnacentral:rRNA from 1 species